GGGGAGUACGGCCGCAAGGCUAAAACUCAAAUGAAUUGACGGGGACCCGCACAAGCGGUGGAGCAUGUGGUUUAAUUCGAUGCAACGCGAAAAACCUUACCUACUCUUGACAUACUUGGAAGCUCUUGUAAUGAGAGUGUGCCUUUUGGAGCCAAGAUACAGGUGCUGCAUGGCUGUCGUCAGCUCGUGUCGUGAAAUGUUCCGUUAAGUCGGAUAACGAGCGCAACCCUUACCCUUAUUUGCCAGCGAUUCGGUCGGGAACUAUAAGGGGACUGCCGGUGAUAAACCGGAGGAAGGUGAGGACGACGUCAAGUCAUCAUGGCCCUUACGAGUAGGGCUACACACGUGCUACAAUGGGGAAUACAGACGGACGCUAAGCCGCGAGGUGGUGCUAAUCCUAAAAAGUUUCUCGUAGUCCGGAUUGGAGUCUGCAACUCGACUCCAUGAAGUCGGAAUCGCUAGUAAUCGCGGAUCAGCAUGCCGCGGUGAAUACGUUCUCGGGUCUU
rnacentral:rRNA from 1 species